GAUGAACGCUGGCGGCGUGCCUAAUACAUGCAAGUCGAGCGAACAGACGAGGAGCUUGCUCCUCUGACGUUAGCGGCGGACGGGUGAGUAACACGUGGAUAACCUACCUAUAAGACUGGGAUAACUUCGGGAAACCGGAGCUAAUACCGGAUAAUAUAUUGAACCGCAUGGUUCAAUAGUGAAAGACGGUUUUGCUGUAAAUUAUAGAUGGAUCCCCGCCGCAUUAGCUAGUUGGUAAGGUAACGGCUUACCAAGGCAACGAUGCGUAGCCGACCUGAGAGGGUGAUCGGCCACACUGGAACUGAGACACGGUCCAGACGCCUACGGGAGGCAGCAGUAGGGAAUCUUCCGCAAUGGGCGAAAGCCUGACGGAGCAACGCCGCGUGAGUGAUGAAGGUCUUCGGAUCGUAAAACUCUGUUAUUAGGGAAGAACAAAUGUGUAAGUAACUAUGCACGUCUUGACGGUACCUAAUCAGAAAGCCACGGCUAACUACGUG
rnacentral:rRNA from 1 species